CUCCUCCUCCGCCGCCUCCGCCUCCCGCCCGGCCCCGGCGGCGGGAACGGCGGGUCCGUGUGGUGCGUGCCGCGCUGCGGGCAGCCCGGCAGCCAUCCCCUCAGAGCGGCAGCCCUCCUCCCCACACAAAGGCCUCACGCGCCCUAUAGCGCUGUCAGCGCACAGCCUGACACCGACCCCAGCCACAGAGGCAAUAAGGCAGACAGGAUGUUAUUCACACGUGCCGAAACGAAGUUAAACCCCCACGCUGCUCAGCCUGCUGUGCCGUGCCCAUUAGGUUCGUGUUCCCUGCGCUGCAGAGCACAGCCUGACACGGAAGAUGCCGUUUUUGGUACGUUCUCUAGUUCACCUUGAGAACAGAAACCAGCGGAGGCAGCGGUUUGAGGUCAGGGGCAAAGGUCUGCUGCUGCUCUCACUCACAAUAGGAAAACGCACAGAUGCGAUUCCUGCCCGCUGCUCGAGGCGGCCAUCUGGACACGGACUGCCCUGUUGGUGUCAGCUCCUCCCUUGUGACAAAUCCAAACACCCCCCCAGCUCCAACACCACACCCCAGGAGCCCAGCAGACAUGUUCUCUAUCAUCCAACAGCAGCAGCUGAAAUGAAGUACUUCAUUCGGGCCUACCGGAUCCUCCGCCUCUGCCAUAGCAGCCAAUGCUCAGUAAGGAUCCCAGGCCAUUUUUAGUGCGUUUCCCCAUCAGUGACUGAGCCUGCAGGUAACUGAGAGUGUUCACAUGCAGUAAUGAGAAGUUCUAGUGCACUGUGCUGAGACAAAUCCAAGGCCACGUCUCUUCAGCUCCGCAGAAUUUCUGCAGGGUUUAUCUCAGUCGUAGAGAUGAGCUUCUCACUGUGACGAUGCAACCUUCUCCGCUCCACACAGACCCUGCGUGACCCCACAGGCUGAACGGAACGGAGCAAACAGAGCCGUCAGCACACGCUGAGCAACUGGAGAGAGCCAUUAACAGGUUAGUCAAAAACACCGUCCUUCACUGCGAAAGUUAUUCCUUUCUGGAUGCAGCCGGAGCACUUUGGAUCAUCUCUAUCAGACACCGCAGUAGGACUGAAGCAGAGUGAACUCCAUGAGCGCCAAGCUUCAGCACAUUAAUUGCUGCUCCUCAGGAACCCGAGACGACCAUUUGAAGGCUGUCUUUUGUCUCAAUGGAAUUUCAGCAUCUCCUUGGGCUUUGCAUUUAUACCAUUCGUGUGAACAGCAAAACUGCACGCAGAUGAUACAGAAGUAACAUAAUAGCAGCAGUAACCGGAUUAACAAUCCAUUAGCACAGAUCUGAAAUCCCAGUGGUUAUUAACUGGGAGUGAAGGGAGGGGUUGCUAUUCUCCAUAUUAGCACAUGAAUAAAACACUGCCACCAAGAAACAGGACAUUUAUUUCUACAGAUAUUGUGCUACAGUUUCUGCAGACAACACUCACCAGUGCUUACACUCUUAUGUGAACCUGCAGUGGAGAGAGGGGUCCUGGCUUCCCCAUCCCACUUGCCAGACCUCCUCACUCAUCUCUGGUGGGCAGCAUGGAAAAGCCAUUUGCUAUAGUGGGCCACAACUAAUACUUAAAGCCUCUGUGGAAACUGUGAGCCUCAGCAGCACGUCCAGUUGCUUGUGAAGUGGAUGAGCACUGGUAGCGCUCACUGUUUAUCUGAAAGAAAAACCCACAGGGCUUCGAUCAAAUGAACAGUAAAUGACCGGUGGGCAGGUACUUCUCCUAAAUACCUUUGAAACUGCUCAGGAAGUUUCUCCCUCCCAUCUCUCGUUUCCCGAUGGUGUGCAAAGCUGCGCUAGAUGGAGCUGCAGGAACGGUCAGCAAUGCCCUGAUAAAGCCUCGUUAGAGAAUUUAGCUCUGGGCUUGGCACAGCCCUGGCUGAAUUUGCAGAGAACAGCAAUGACCCCUCGUGGCCACGGAGAAAAGUACCAGGACCACCACCCCCAUAAUCAGAAAUGAUCAAUAAGCAAACCUUUCCUGCUGGUGCUCCAAUCCUUAAGUCAAAGAACAAAAGUGCCAGGAACUCGAUGAGUCACGUACCCACAUCCCCAAGGCAAUGAGCAGCUGAAGCAGUCUAGACCUUGAGCUCACUGUUUCUCAAGUUGAAUGUUCAUUUAUUGAGCAUAAACAACCCAAAAAAGUUCACACUGGGAAGAGAGGGUUGGCAUGAGAAGCCUAUUCUGCUAAAGCUUUUAGCCUCUGUGCUGUUCCUGCCCACACAAAUGUGGGUAAGGCUGAUACCAGCCUCAUACACAGAGGCGACAGUGUCACCCUCAGGCUUUAGUCCUCAGCUUUCCCAGAUCAUCCUGAGGAUGUGAUUGUUUUCACACUUCCUAGGGAAUCUUCCCAACACUCAGAAAUAACAGUUCCUGGGCCUUGCAUGGGACAGUCCACCAACACAUCCUCGAGAACUUAAGUGCUAUUUUACAGAGGCAGCAUGGAGUGACGUUUGAGUUUUGCAGCAGCAAAAUGGAUUACCUGUGUCCUUGCUUGUCCUUAGCUACUGAACUACAUAAUACUCCAGUAUUUAAGCAGCAGCAUUGGUGGCAGACACCCAGCCCUUGUUUUGUUUUGUUUUUUGGAAGGAAAUGAAGCAGAGCUGCUGGAGAUUACCACAAACAUGAUCCAAAGGUGCCACCUAGUGCUUACUCUUAACCACAGUCUGAACCAGAUGAGAAGCAAGGAAGGGUAUUUCUAGUUUCCAGGAAAAGAUUGAGCAGUUUUCUUCCUUCAGCCUGAGGCAAGCAUGAAAACUUGAAAUACUGCAACUAGACUCAGGGAUAAUUAGGACAGGCUUCUUGUUUUUUGUUUUUUGUUUUUUUUUUUUUAACAACUACAGCACAGUGGUGCACGCAGCUCUAAUAAAAAACAUACACACACCACAUACAGAUACAAACAGCUCUAAUACAGCUAAUACCAGAGAUCUGAAAGGAUACUGAAGCAAAAACAUCACAUCUGUUCUUAGGCAGGGAAGGCAAGUGAUGGAGUGCAACCAUCUAGCCACUGCCCCAAGGACGUGGCCACUUGGUCAGUGUCUGCUGGGCUCCCCUUUUCCCCCUGACAAAGCUGCAUGACACACCUUUCCAUGGCACCUUGCAAAGAAAUCUUGAGAGAAAGCCACUAUGAACAAUGCCAGGCAAUCUAACUACUUACCCCACGUGGAAAACUUGGUGAAGAAGAAGGUGAACUGCUUGAAAAGGCUGAAGAACAACUACUGAAGAGAAGGCAAGAGGACACUUCAACCAUUUAAGUCUCCUGGUAGAAGAAAACUUUAAGCCAGCUGUAGUUCUCUAGCUAGACCAAAUUAAUUCGGGAGCAAGACAAGCCAAUGCACGCACCAAUGAAUGACUAUUUAAAUUACAGGAAAUUUAUUGAAAUGUAAAGCCUUUCAUAGCAAACAACACCAGAGCUUCCUCAGAUAAAGAGCUCACCACAUCACGAAUAUAAAAAGGACCAGCAGGAUACACGCAGACUGAGAAGGCACUGCUCACCCAUGGCUACUACAUGCCCAUGUGGACAGCCACGUCCAAACUCAAACCUUUAGGACACAGAAGCCAUGAACAGCAAACACACAAAACGUGGCUCAAAACAGUCUAAGGACUCGUACUUGUGAAGUCUCAAAAAAAAACAAACAAAAAAGCACCCAAAACUGAG